rnacentral:rRNA from 1 species
UACGAAGGGGGCUAGCGUUGCUUGGAAUCACUGGGCGUAAAGCGCACGUAGGCGGAUUGCUAAGUCAGGGGUGAAAUCCUGGAGCUCAACUCCAGAACUGCCCUUGAUACUGGCGGUCUCGAGUCCGGGAGAGGUGAGUGGAGCUGCGAGUGUAGAGGUGAAAUUCGUAGAUAUUCGCAAGAACACCAGUGGCGAAGGCGGCUCACUGGCCCGGUACUGACGCUGAGGUGCGAAAGCGUGGGGAGCAAACAGG